AGGCCCGUAGGAUCAAGCCGGAGCGUACGCCCUCCGUUAUCAUGCGUACAAAGAGACACAUGCCAAUCUCACAACACGAGUCAAGAACAUGCUACGCAUGCCUUCACUCGCUAUGGCUGUCGCUUAAUAGCUGACUAGCCCAUCCGCCUCGCAAUGCCUGCUUGUGAGACAACGGGUGUUAUAUAUGCAGGCUGCAGAUGGAUUGCCGGUCUAUUCCAUCUAAAGGCUAGUGAUCGGAACGUUCAACAGUUUUUCGUCCCGCUUUUAUCUGACUGAACGUAAUCAAGUGGGAAUACGCUUGUAUACAUCCUUAUAAAAUCCCUGACCAGACGGGAGUUCAACUCUCCCCAGGUCCACCA
rnacentral:tmRNA from 1 species